rnacentral:rRNA from 1 species
AUAUUAGUCAAUGCUCGAAAGAGUGAACUAGCUAACUGAAAUCAUAGUUGUGUCAACUGUGAAUAGUGAGAGAAAAUAAUGAUAUUAUCUUAACUAUAAGUGUCGUCAAAAUACUAGUGCCAGAAGACUCGGUAAGGCUAGAGACACAAACGUUAGUCAUCUUUAACAGGCGUAAAGGGUUUGUAGGCUGCUUUAAAAAUUUUAUAAUUAUUCCUUAGUACUAUAUAGAACAAUUAUAAAAUUGUAUUAAAGCUAGAAUCAAGAAGAGGUUAAAAUAAUAUUUAGAUCUAAAUUGACAAUCGUAAAUCUUAAGUAGAAUACUAAUGGCGAAAGCUUUUUUCUAUUACUGAUUGACGCUGAGAAACUAAGGGGAGGAAAGAAAAAAGGAUUAGAGACCCUCGUAUCCCUCUCUGUCAACGAUGAAUGGUAGUUACUAAUUUUAAAAAAUUAGAGGCGAUGUUAACACGAAAACCAUUCCGCCUUGUGAGUACGACUGCAAAGUUGAAAACAAAAAAAUUAGUCGGUUUUGGAGCAAACGAAGUGAAGCAUGUUAUUUAA